UAUGUUAUAAGACUGUGGUGGAAUAUUGUGCAAUGAUCAAAUGCUGCUUACAAGUUCAAGAUCUGAGAACUUGUACUGUGUUGUAUACACUUGUAUUAAAAAGAAAGUUGUGAAAUUUCAUCCUUGAUAUUAUCUCAAAAAAUCUUUAAAAAUUUACAGGCACAAGGAAAAGACCAAAAUAAAAUAUUAAAUUUUCUCAUC
rnacentral:lncRNA from 1 species